GUUGUGAGGUUAAGCGACUAAGCGUACACGGUGGAUGCCCUGGCAGUCAGAGGCGAUGAAGGACGUGCUAAUCUGCGAUAAGCGUCGGUAAGGUGAUAUGAACCGUUAUAACCGGCGAUUUCCGAAUGGGGAAACCCAGUGUGAUUCGUCACACUAUCAUUAACUGAAUCCAUAGGUUAAUGAGGCGAACCGGGGGAACUGAAACAUCUAAGUACCCCGAGGAAAAGAAAUCAACCGAGAUUCCCCCAGUAGCGGCGAGCGAACGGGGAGCAGCCCAGAGCCUGAAUCAGUGUGUGUGUUAGUGGAAGCGUCUGGAAAGGCGUGCGAUACAGGGUGACAGCCCCGUACACAAAAAUGCACAUACUGUGAGCUCGAUGAGUAGGGCGGGACACGUGGUAUCCUGUCUGAAUAUGGGGGGACCAUCCUCCAAGGCUAAAUACUCCUGACUGACCGAUAGUGAACCAGUACCGUGAGGGAAAGGCGAAAAGAACCCCGGCGAGGGGAGUGAAAAAGAACCUGAAACCGUGUACGUACAAGCAGUGGGAGCACGCUUAGGCGUGUGACUGCGUACCUUUUGUAUAAUGGGUCAGCGACUUAUAUUCUGUAGCAAGGUUAACCGAAUAGGGGAGCCGAAGGGAAACCGAGUCUUAACUGGGCGUUAAGUUGCAGGGUAUAGACCCGAAACCCGGUGAUCUAGCCAUGGGCAGGUUGAAGGUUGGGUAACACUAACUGGAGGACCGAACCGACUAAUGUUGAAAAAUUAGCGGAUGACUUGUGGCUGGGGGUGAAAGGCCAAUCAAACCGGGAGAUAGCUGGUUCUCCCCGAAAGCUAUUUAGGUAGCGCCUCGUGAAUUCAUCUCCGGGGGUAGAGCACUGUUUCGGCAAGGGGGUCAUCCCGACUUACCAACCCGAUGCAAACUGCGAAUACCGGAGAAUGUUAUUACGGGAGACACACGGCGGGUGCUAACGUCCGUCGUGAAGAGGGAAACAACCCAGACCGCCAGCUAAGGUCCCAAAGUCAUGGUUAAGUGGGAAACGAUGUGGGAAGGCCCAGACAGCCAGGAUGUUGGCUUAGAAGCAGCCAUCAUUUAAAGAAAGCGUAAUAGCUCACUGGUCGAGUCGGCCUGCGCGGAAGAUGUAACGGGGCUAAACCAUGCACCGAAGCUGCGGCAGCGACGCUUAUGCGUUGUUGGGUAGGGGAGCGUUCUGUAAGCCUGUGAAGGUGUGCUGUGAGGUAUGCUGGAGGUAUCAGAAGUGCGAAUGCUGACAUAAGUAACGAUAAAGCGGGUGAAAAGCCCGCUCGCCGGAAGACCAAGGGUUCCUGUCCAACGUUAAUCGGGGCAGGGUGAGUCGACCCCUAAGGCGAGGCCGAAAGGCGUAGUCGAUGGGAAACAGGUUAAUAUUCCUGUACUUGGUGUUACUGCGAAGGGGGGACGGAGAAGGCUAUGUUGGUCGGGCGACGGUUGUCCCGGUUUAAGCGUGUAGGCUGGUUUUCCAGGCAAAUCCGGAAAAUCAAGGCCGAGGCGUGAUGACGAGGCACUACGGUGCUGAAGCAACAAAUGCCCUGCUUCCAGGAAAAGCCUCUAAGCAUCAGGUAACAUCAAAUCGUACCCCAAACCGACACAGGUGGUCAGGUAGAGAAUACCAAGGCGCUUGAGAGAACUCGGGUGAAGGAACUAGGCAAAAUGGUGCCGUAACUUCGGGAGAAGGCACGCUGAUACGUAGGUGAAGCGACUUGCUCGUGGAGCUGAAAUCAGUCGAAGAUACCAGCUGGCUGCAACUGUUUAUUAAAAACACAGCACUGUGCAAACACGAAAGUGGACGUAUACGGUGUGACGCCUGCCCGGUGCCGGAAGGUUAAUUGAUGGGGUUAGCGCAAGCGAAGCUCUUGAUCGAAGCCCCGGUAAACGGCGGCCGUAACUAUAACGGUCCUAAGGUAGCGAAAUUCCUUGUCGGGUAAGUUCCGACCUGCACGAAUGGCGUAAUGAUGGCCAGGCUGUCUCCACCCGAGACUCAGUGAAAUUGAACUCGCUGUGAAGAUGCAGUGUACCCGCGGCAAGACGGAAAGACCCCGUGAACCUUUACUAUAGCUUGACACUGAACAUUGAGCCUUGAUGUGUAGGAUAGGUGGGAGGCUUUGAAGUGUGGACGCCAGUCUGCAUGGAGCCGACCUUGAAAUACCACCCUUUAAUGUUUGAUGUUCUAACGUGGACCCGUGAUCCGGGUUGCGGACAGUGUCUGGUGGGUAGUUUGACUGGGGCGGUCUCCUCCUAAAGAGUAACGGAGGAGCACGAAGGUUGGCUAAUCCUGGUCGGACAUCAGGAGGUUAGUGCAAUGGCAUAAGCCAGCUUGACUGCGAGCGUGACGGCGCGAGCAGGUGCGAAAGCAGGUCAUAGUGAUCCGGUGGUUCUGAAUGGAAGGGCCAUCGCUCAACGGAUAAAAGGUACUCCGGGGAUAACAGGCUGAUACCGCCCAAGAGUUCAUAUCGACGGCGGUGUUUGGCACCUCGAUGUCGGCUCAUCACAUCCUGGGGCUGAAGUAGGUCCCAAGGGUAUGGCUGUUCGCCAUUUAAAGUGGUACGCGAGCUGGGUUUAGAACGUCGUGAGACAGUUCGGUCCCUAUCUGCCGUGGGCGCUGGAGAACUGAGGGGGGCUGCUCCUAGUACGAGAGGACCGGAGUGGACGCAUCACUGGUGUUCGGGUUGUCAUGCCAAUGGCACUGCCCGGUAGCUAAAUGCGGAAGAGAUAAGUGCUGAAAGCAUCUAAGCACGAAACUUGCCCCGAGAUGAGUUCUCCCUGACCCUUUAAGGGUCCUGAAGGAACGUUGAAGACGACGACGUUGAUAGGCCGGGUGUGUAAGCGCAGCGAUGCGUUGAGCUAACCGGUACUAAUGAACCGUGAGGCUUAACCUUACAACGCCGAAG
rnacentral:rRNA from 1 species